AUUGAACGCUGGCGGCAUGCCUUACACAUGCAAGUCGAACGGCAGCACGGGUGCUUGCACCUGGUGGCGAGUGGCGAACGGGUGAGUAAUAUAUCGGAACGUACCUUAUUGUGGGGGACAACGCAGCGAAAGCUGUGCUAAUACCGCAUAAUCCCUAAGGGGGAAAGCGGGGGACCGUAAGGCCUCGCGCAAUUAGAGCGGCCGAUACCUGAUUAGCUAGUUGGUGAGGUAAAGGCUCACCAAGGCAACGAUCAGUAGCUGGUCUGAGAGGACGAUCAGCCACACUGGGACUGAGACACGGCCCAGACUCCUACGGGAGGCAGCAGUGGGGAAUUUUGGACAAUGGGGGCAACCCUGAUCCGGCAAUGCCGCGUGAGUGAAGAAGGCCUUCGGGUUGUAAAGCUCUUUUGUCAGGGAAGAAACAGCAGCUCUAACACAGUUUGCGAAUGACGGUACCUGAAGAAUAAGCACCGGCUAACUACGUGCCAGCAGCCGCGGUAA
rnacentral:rRNA from 1 species